UGCAUGUUUCCUUUUUAAAAGGACUGCACCUGUGAUGCAAAGGUGGGAGGUCAGCUUGGCCAUUGGAUAAAAAGGGGAUUCCCAGGAGAUUGCCCCGAGGGACUCAGCUAUGUAGUAGCUGCGGGGAGGAUGUGUUUUCUGUUACUCAGCUCUCAGAGGCAGUAUUGCUGCAUGUGAAAGUGUGUAACUUCUGUGGGAGGAGUUGUGUUAGUUGUGUAGAGAUGGUUUUGAGUGCUUUUGCUUUAGUUAGAAAACUUCACUUUACAGUUGCAGAGACCUUUCUGUGUUGUGUUUGCACAGCUUCUUUCAGCCUCAGCUCAGAGUUCCUCUCUGGCUCAUUACCUGCCUUCUCCAGCCCUGAUUCCUCCCAGAGGAUGUCUCUGCAAUGGAACAGAUGCUUUUGCUCCAAGCAAAAGAGCCUUGUGCCAGAAAUUUAAACAUCAUCAAACCCUCCACUGGGUGUAGGAACAGUUUCUGCUGUCACUGCUACCUGGAAACAGGAAAGGAAAUAGGAGGUGACCUGUGCUGUCACUGAGCCAAAUCAACUGCUCAUUACAGGAGGAAGUCACUCUGUGCUUGGAAUGACCGCUGAAGGUGGUCAGCAGCUGAGGAUUUUUCACUGUGGGACCUGAUCCCAAUUGCUGAUGUUGAACAAUUGCUUUAUUUAUUGCACAGAAAGACAGCUGCCCACUAUUCCACUUUAUUUAUGCCUCAUUUUAAUUUCUUAGCUGAAAGUGCUAUGCUAAUACAGAAUGUCACCAAACAGGGUGACAGAGGCAAAGGCAUGAGAUGUGUGCCAAGUUCAUGACACAGGAGUCUCAGCUGCAGAGGUACUUCACAGCUGGAAAGGAGGAAGAGCCAAAGGACAGAGUUAGGGGGCAAGAAGAAUCUAAAAGUGAAAGGCUGAAGUCUGACUGCUGAAGGUCUUCAGGUGCUUAAAUACUCCCUGGGGACCGGCCUCAAUCAAGAACAUUAUAAAGAACUGAUGUUGGCAGAUAGCAUGCGUUUUGUGGUCACAAAACAUCAGUUGUGAAAACCUGGUGAAUGCUGAAGAGAGAAUGGGGAGCUGCAGCUCUGCUCCAUGGGGAAAGAGAUGCUGGAAAACAAGCACAAUCCAGGCUAACUACAGAUGAAAAUGUCACAAUAACAGUUGCUGUGGGGACAAGAAAAAAAUUGAAUUGUGUGUACACAAAGCUUUCUGUAUGCAUGAGAGGAUGCACCUUUGUUGCCAUGGAUGAAGAAGAGAAAUACUACAAGUCAUAGUCAGAAGGACACUGAAGUCAGGGGUAAAUCCACACAAAAUAACUGAAACCUCUGCAGCAGACAGUUAAACCAUCACAGUGAGCAGGGAAUAAGCUCAAAAUCAGCCUAAAUUGCAGUCAUUACAGAAAUUUGCAGGUUACAUCCUGCUGAGCUGAAUGCAACUGCAAAGACAAGCCUCUUGUUUUUUCCCCCUUUGGGAAUGCUGACCUAUGUUUCUGCUGUUCUAGUGCUCCCAGAUCCCUCCCGGGUGGCCUGUCCCCUCCUUCCUGUGGGGCACAGAGGCUCUCGGGAGAUGGUGACAGA